GACGAACGCUGGCGGCGUGCUUAACACACGCAAGUCGAGCGGUAAGGCCCUUUCGGGGGUACACGAGCGGCGAACGGGUGAGUAACACGUGGGUGACCUGCCCUCAGCUCUGGGAUAAGCCUGGGAAACCGGGUCUAAUACCGGAUAUGACUCCAUGACGCAUGUUGGUGGGGUGGAAAGCCUUGUGCGGCUGAGGAUGGGCCCGCGGCCUAUCAGCUUGUUGGUGGGGUGAGGCCUACCAAGGCGACGACGGGUAGCCGGCCUGAGAGGGCGACCGGCCACACUGGGACUGAGACACGGCCCAGACUCCUACGGGAGGCAGCAGUGGGGAAUCUUGCGCAAUGGGCGAAAGCCUGACGCAGCGACGCCGCGUGAGGGAUGACGGCCUCGG
rnacentral:rRNA from 1 species